GUGUGGAAAGGGGUGCGUUGGAGGCUAGCUACGAUCCUGGCACAGUUGGUCCUUAUUCAGAGACGCGAGAGGCAAGAGAGGACGCGGGGGCCCCGGUAUAACAAAGAUCCAUCGGGACCGGUUUCGUGUUCUGCCCUUUUUUACAUUCUCCGAAGGGGCCCCGUCGAGCCGCGGGUGUGAAAACCGACACCCACCCACUUGUUAUUUUGUCAAACACGAGACCUGAAAAUUAUAGGAAUCAUGCGGUAUCGCUGCUCACUCCUGGUGCCCGCUCGCUUCAAAUUAUUCUCGAUUGCACGCUCUCGAUGCAUUUUAUAACCGCCAAUUAAUCGCGACGUCGACCCCGGCCGUUCCCUGCUACCGGUACACCGCGUUCCCUUGUCGCUUCCAACUUGCGCGAUCCACGUUUCGUUCGUCUUUUUUCUCCUCCAAUCGCGCGGCCCCGAGUGUCCACUCCACGGCUAUUCGUGUUUCUUCGUGUCCGCUGAUAUCGAACACGAUAAGGAACGGCUCGCUAUAGAAGGGACGAAUGCAGUUUAGAACAAUUUUAAGAAAUUUGUGGAAAAAACGUGGUUUAAUAAAGGUGCUCGCAUGCUUGGUAUUUUUAAGCGCGUAAAUAUCACUUCAAUUAUUACACUGAAUCCAUACAUCGUGGUAUAAUUAUUUCUAUUCUUCUUGACAUCACUUUGCCUUACAUAACCCCUUAAUUUGGCUUUGUCCGCGUUAUCGUUAGACUGUACAUUACAUUUACGUUAACCUUGUCUCUUGUACUUUUCUUACCUUUUCUACUUUCAUUUAUAAUUCAUUUGUUAUCGAACCUUUUUUUUUCUUGAACCACCCCCAAUCGUUCCCAACUUACACCUCAUAUUUUGUGCAAUGGACAGUACAACGAUAUCCAAGAAAUUAAAAUAUUCCGACCCCUUAAGCCCAACUUCCUGAGACUGACGUCAGAACGAGCCCCUUCUCGCGAAAUCGUAUCCGUUUCGUAAUUAGAAUUACUAGUAUCAAAGUCUCCGUAAACCUGUUUUCGCCGCUUACGAUCUUCGAUUCCUCGUCGUUUGCUUGUCCGUCACAGAAACGAAUCGAAUCGUUGCUCCGACCAGGCACCGAAUGGGAAAUUUAAUUCGUUUCCGGUAAGAUACAUCGACCGAGACACGUAAUUACGGGAUCGCCUACACGGAUGGCUCUAUCGCUCUCUCGAGAGCGAAUCAAACGCUCGAUAACAAUCUAUCUAUGUUAGGUGUACGGAAUUUUCGCUCAACCGUGAAAUUAGAUUCUCCUGCGUCGCUAAGAAGUGCGCUAGAUCCAGUUCUUUGAGCAGUGCAACGAAGAGCUAUUAAUACGCUGUUUCUCUGACGUUUGGUAGAAAGGGUAGUAAAAAAAAAAGAGUAAGUGAAAAAAGUGUGUCUCCGAGAUACGAUCGUGCAAGCUGCAGGAAUAUGAAAUUUAAAAAAGUAUUCGUUUGAUCUUCUCGAGAAGAAUGUAAUUUUUACUCGAACCUUUUCUACCAAACGUUGAUGAUUUAUUAUUAUAUCUGAUAAGGAACCUCGUCGAUCUGUCGCAAUUUCGAAGAUAAGAAGACGUAUGCAAGAGAAAGCAAAUGUUGAAACCACGGUGUCGUUAACGCGUGUGACCGAUAGCCGUUAAUCGCUGAUAGGGAAUCUCUGUUGGAAGGAUCAAGAGAAUGGUAAUUGGGGGAUCGUAGACGCGAGGCAGUCUGGCGAAACGAAAGUAUUUAACAGCCAGCUCGCCGUCCGCAUUCUCAGGUGACAAGCUUUUACGGCGCUCACCUGGACCUGGCUGGGGCAUUUCUGCGCCACCGUGGAAACUAUAGCGCGCCAUAUCGCUACAUAUAUGUACAUUCGUCGUUCAGCAAAUAAGGGACUUGUUAAGUGCACCGAGGCUGGCAAGUCACGCCGUCCUGAGACGGGUUUCGCGCACUCUUUGACCAUAAGGGGAACACAAUACUUACCUCUUAUCUCUGCAUCCUGUACUUGCAGCUGGAAAGUAUAAAACUGUAUCGAGAGAGCAAAUGCUCCGUGCUAGUAGCGCUCCAUUUGUUACGAUAUAUCUUAAUAUUUAAUCUGAAGACCACUUUAAUGUCUGACAGAAAUUUACUGUGUUUAGAGGUAAUUCAACGAUAAGCCAUUCAGGAAACAGUAUUUAUGCAAUGUAUGAACUGCAUACAAGUCUAAACAUUAGAACGUGUCUCCUCUUAAAAUAGAGAUGCAAUGAUAUAGGGACAAAACUUUGUAGUAUGUAGAUGGAUUCUAUAUCUAACAUAAGGAAAGUGUAUAUGAGCAACUUUGCAGAAAUAAAUCAGGUGUUUUGUGGUU